CCCCUACCGGCCGCCUCCUCGCGCCUCCACCUCCCCUGCUACCGCCGCCGCUUUACUCCCGAUGGGCGAACCACGCCCACCUCGACCGCCGGCCUCUCGCGCCCUCCGUCGCCUCCCACCUCCACCGCUGCUGCUUCUCUCCGGAUCCACUCUCCGCACCCGCCGCCCCACUCUGCCCUCGCAUCCUCGUCACCGCGCGGCUAACCCUCCGGCCUCCACACCUCUCCCUCUCUUUCUCCUCAGAUCUGCGAGCUGCUCCCUCUCGCUCGUCGAGGGCCGCGGCCACCGUCUCCCUUGACCUCGUCGCCGCCGCGACGGCCCUCUCGCGCGGCAGCCGUCUGGGCACAUGGAGGAAGGCCGGGCGAGCUCCAAGCCUCGACCCCGGAAGAUAUACAAUGUAUAGUGGCCGCUGCCAGUGCGGACUCGGGCCCCCUCCUCGCCGCGCCUCCCCGCCGGGGGGCUCAUCCAAUUGCUCCUCUCCUGCGGAGCGGUUGAGGUCCGCAGACUCAUCCACCAGCGGCUGCUGCAUCCGACUCAACAAAUAGCGAUUCAGCAGUUUACCUCACGCCAUAAUUGUUGCCUGUAAAGUGCUCGACAGAAUGCUCCAGUGGUGACAUGAUGUUUGGAUCUCUGUUGGCAAAGGAGCAAUUCUUUGGUAAAGUUGAAGCUGGGUUAGCAUAUUCGCUCACUGCUGCUACUUCGCCUACAAUUUCACACAUUUGAGUUCUUCCUCUCUUGCCCCUAACUGUGAAUUGGUCUUGUAAAUUGCAUUGAGACUAUAGCCUUCUAUUUUUCAGAUUUCUACAGGUUUUGUUUGUACUGCAGCUGUGUUAGUAUUGACGCCCUCCUGUGCAUUGAUUGAUUGGAUGAGAUAUUGUUGUAUGUCUUUCAGGAUUAUUGCUUCUGAAUGAGCGUGGGAAAAAGGGAGAGCUGUGGACAGAGGUGUUGUCAUAGGAGCUCGCAUGGAAUUCUCUCAGCUGUGAGCCCCCUGGAACUUAAAUGUGCAUCUCAGACUUGACUGGUGGUUUGUGUUUUCUUCUGCAUCUCUAGUCUCAGCCGGUGGCAGUAGGCGCAUGCACCGAAUGGCUCUCUUGUUGGCGUUGAGUCAGACCUCUAGGUGAUUUAAAGGGUUAAAGAACUGGCGGUUAGAAUAGAAGCCUCACAGAGAAGAAAUCAUUGUAGCCAAAUGUGCUGCCACAACACUCAUCAAAACUGAUACGUGUUGAAAAAGAAUUCUUUGCUUAGUUACUGCUGCUGGUUCAUACUCUUGGUGAAAACUAUCUUUUAUUUUUUUUCUGGUUCAUUUUGUUGUCUUUGGUCCUGCAAUGUUAGAUUGCUAGUUCUGAUUCAUGGAAAACACUAUGUGAUCCAUUAUUCUGGUGUCAUGAUGUUUGAUGCAAAUAUUAUUGAUAUGAGGUUAUAAUUUGGGCUGUAAUUGCUUAUUGUGA